rnacentral:tRNA from 1 species
GUCCCUGUAGCUCAGUUGGUAGAGCAUGGUGUUUGCAACGCCAGGGUUGUGGGUUCGAUUCCCACGGGGGCCA